rnacentral:rRNA from 1 species
CAGCAGCCGCGGUAAUACGUAGGGGGCGAGCGUUGUCCGGAAUUAUUGGGCGUAAAGCGCGCGCAGGCGGUCCUUUAAGUCUGAUGUGAAAGCCCACGGCUCAACCGUGGAGGGUCAUUGGAAACUGGGGGACUUGAGUGCAGGAGAGGAGAGCGGAAUUCCACGUGUAGCGGUGAAAUGCGUAGAGAUGUGGAGGAACACCAGUGGCGAAGGCGGCUCUCUGGCCUGUAACUGACGCUGAGGCGCGAAAGCGUGGGGAGCAAACAGGAUUAGAUCCCCUGGUAGUCCACGCCGUAAACGAUGAGUGCUAAGUGUUAGAGGGGUCACACCCUUUAGUGCUGUAGCUAACGCGAUAAGCACUCCGCCUGGGGAGUACGGCCGCAAGGCUGAAACUUAAAGGAAUUGGCGGG